AGAGAGAGCUGCAGCUGGUGAGACACUGCAUGCAGGUUAUUUUGGUGAGCUUGGGGCUCCAUCCUCAUGUAGCUGAAGGUAAAGAGGCUGGAGGUCUCCUUUUUCACAACGGGCAGCAGAGGCCCAAGGCCACUCCAUCGAGCUCAAGAUCUCAGUGACUUGCCGCGGUCAUGCCUCAUCCCUGCGUCCCACGCCAAGGUUUCCUGGAGCAGGAGCAGUGCCUGGUGGGAUUCUGACCUGGGUCCUCCUGUGGGAGCCUGUGCUCAGCUGGGCAGCCAUCCUCACUCUGGGCCAGCAUGUCAAUAGGGACCGCUCCUGGUCUGGGGGCCCUUGACCUCUUUUGUGCCGUGAAUCCCUUCUCAAAAUAUUUUCCUUUGCAUACAGGGAUCACAAAGGAAACUAGCUAUGAUGAAAUACAGUUGUGAAAAUAUCGAAGCGUGUGAUGUUGUAAUAUAUGGGUUUCUUUAACACAUUAAAUAACAAGAAUCAAGGGGAUGAGCCCAAUAAACCACUGUCAACUUGAAGUAGAAAUGAGUUUAAACAAUGUUUCAAGAUACCUGCAAAUGUAAAAGAAAAAGCACUGCUUUCUACUGGCCCUGCCAAUGCAACUGCAGUUUUUUGCCUUUAUUCAUAACUGAGAAAAUGGAGGUGAGUGGAGGUUAAGUUGUAAUAUUUUCCAGUCUCAGUUCACCGACCUCUGAAUUCCAGUGUACAGGCUGUGGUUCAGGGAUCCUAGUUAAAAACUUCUGUCUUGGAUACAAAAAUGCGACUUUAGGGAUCCUUUGCUACUUCUUAACCACCACCUGUACCCCUACACCUCACCUUGUAUGAUCAUGGAGCCAGGCUGGAAAUGCCAAGAUCUGCCCCCAGACGCCACAACACAUACUUCCUGCCAUUCCUGUGUCUCCCAACCUUGCCAUCCAGGGAGGGAUGGGUCUGACUGGGGCAUUUUGCUAGGCAAUUUGCAGAGGCCUCUGUAUCUAGUUUUCAAGAAGGUGGACUCCUCCCACCCCCACCCCCACAGCAUUCCUUCUAAAC
ensembl:lncRNA